UCACUACACUGAACGAGAACUACAACCAG
rnacentral:piRNA from 1 species